CUCCCAAGGCUGCUCCUCCUCCCGGAGGAGAGCUUCUUCCUGCUCGUGUCCCCGGCAAAUGCUUCCCUCUCAGCCCCUCCACGCUCAAGGAACUCGUUCCGGUCCCAACCAGAGCCAGCCGCAGCGGGGAAGGGCAGAAACAAGUAGUAAUAAGCAAAGCACUUCCGGCUAAGCUGAGCCUGGGGGCGGGGCCCGCGGUGGCCGACGCCCUAUGUGGGCGUUCCGGCAAAGAGAGAGUCUAGUCCAGGGAAUCCUCUGGAAAAAAACGCUAAUGCGGCCGUGGAGGCGGUGGCGCGGAGGAUGAUUAGAUAAAGUGCGCUGCCCUCGGCGGAGGGAUUAUGUAGUUUGUAGAAAGGCAUCGUUACGAAACCCUCUACCCAAGGGAUUUCAGUUUUGUCCUGUUGGAUUUUUUUCCCUGAUGGCCCAUGACCUCACAGGAAUGCGAUGGAGCCGGCUCCCCGGGGAGCUCAGGCCUACUGUGGAUGUAGUGCCGAUGCCUUGGGCCUGAGCUGUGCACACUCCAGGGCGCGCCAUGGCUGUAGACCUCGAGGUCACCGACACCGUGCCCUUCCCCACCCCCACUUUCCUGUGUGUGGGCCCUCUCUUCCCACUCCCUCCGGGUGGGCUUUGCGGCAGCGCCCGACUGGUGACUUCAUGGGUGUGUCAAAAUAAUUCAAGGAACCUCAUUAACUUUAUUAACACAGUUAAGCAACAGUUCUACAACCUUUUUGGUCUAAGAGCAGAGGUUUCCAACUCAAAGACUGCUCACUUGGGAGCUCCUGGAACCAGAUUAAAAUUUUGUUCCUGAUUUGAAGAACAAAGGACUACAAUCAAGAGUGAGAAUGGCAUGCUGACCGGAUGACAAGAGACGAAGGACACUGAGUUUAUACAAUCAACCUAAAAGGACAUAGAAGGACUUUGAAAGUUUGAACGUUUGAUCAUGAGGAUAUGUAAGAAUGCAUCACACAUGUUAAUAUCACAUAUAUACAUACACAUCCUACAUAGAAAAGGAAGAUAUCUCAUGGAAUGGGUAAGUAUACAACAGAGUUGCAACACAAAAGUCACACAUAUAAAUUUCUGUGGAAAAUUCAAACAGAUGAAGAUAUUUCUUAUCUGCACGAGUUUGCACAGAAAUCUAGAACAAUGUAUAUGGAUGUACAUUUGUAAAUCUGUAUAGGCACAACCUAUGUACACAUGUAAAUACUAAUUUACAAACAAGCUAUAUUAGGAUAAUUUAUUAAUGUUCUAAUGACGAACUAUAGGACAACUUAGAUAACUUGUUCAAAGUCUUAGGGACAUAGAACUACUUAAGUAUAGAAGCUAGAUUGCAUUAUGAUUUUAGGUGAGCAAUUGUUAGUGAUAGAAAAUUUUACUUAGUGAUUAUAGACAUUAGGAGAUAAGACAGUUACUUAUUCAAAAUGUUAUGGAAAUCGUUGAAACUGUUUAAAAUUAUUUACAUGAUUUGUUGUUCUGUCAAAACCAUGUUCAUGUAAAUCCCUAUUACCUAAUCCAUUUUCCUAUACCCAAACUUAGCAUAGAACUAGAUAGAAUAGCUAAGAUAAGUUAAGAUUUGUUAUUUUGGGAGGGUAAAGGAAUAUUUAACAUAGUACAGAGUUAUGAAUAGUUAGCUAAGAAAUAUCCAAAAGGUAAGUAUCAUUUAAAAAAAUGCAAGCUGCAUUUUUUAAGACAAAAAAGGGAGAUAUUGUCAAAGAGGCAUGAAUGCAAAGGACAUCAUCUGUCAGUCAAAAAGGAAGAUUCCAUUUGGAAUGUGACUGGGAGACAGUUGGAGUCAAGCAAACGGCUGAACUGGGUUUUUGGCUUUUGGCUUCUGACAGAGGUGGAAAAGAAACUAUUUGUCUGAGGCUUUUGCUUCUGACAGAGGUGGAGAAGAAGCUAUUUGUCUGAAGCUUUUGCUGGCUAGCUGAUUUGAAGGAGGAAGAAGAAGAAAGACAGUUGUCCUCAUAUCUCUCUGACUGACUUUGUUUCACAGUUGUGACAGAAUUGCCAUACCCCCAAUAUCCUCCAAACACUCUCUAUAGAGAAUAGGGAAAUCCUACCCCCUCUUACCUUAUACUCCAUCCUUUUCUGUCUUCCCCAAUAAACCCUUACUUGAGUUAAAAAAAGAGAAAAAA
rnacentral:lncRNA from 1 species